rnacentral:rRNA from 1 species
AACGAACGCUGGCGGCAGGCUUAACACAUGCAAGUCGAGCGCCCCGCAAGGGGAGCGGCAGACGGGUGAGUAACGCGUGGGAAUCUACCCAUCUCUACGGAAUAACGCAUGGAAACGUGUGCUAAUACCGUAUACGUCCUUCGGGAGAAAGAUUUAUCGGAGAUGGAUGAGCCCGCGUUGGAUUAGCUAGUUGGUGGGGUAAAGGCCUACCAAGGCGACGAUCCAUAGCUGGUCUGAGAGGAUGAUCAGCCACACUGGGACUGAGACACGGCCCAGACUCCUACGGGAGGCAGCAGUGGGGAAUAUUGGACAAUGGGCGCAAGCCUGAUCCAGCCAUGCCGCGUGAGUGAUGAAGGCCUUAGGGUUGUAAAGCUCUUUUACCCGGGAUGAUAAUGACAGUACCGGGAGAAUAAGCUCCGGCUAACUUCGUGCCAGCCGCCGCCGUAAGAC